rnacentral:lncRNA from 1 species
AACAUGAAGCUCAUACAAGAUAUAAAGACAUAUAAUUCACAUAGUAGAAACUGAAAUGCAAAAGUGGUAAAACUUAAUUAUGACCCAAUUGAAGCAAAACAAAUGGGAUAAGAAACUCAGCCCACCCCAAAAUAAACGCUCAACCAAGAACAAAGCAAUUCACUAGACUUGUCCAACUCUGAUUAACAACAUUAUUAAAUGGUGGUUCCUUUAUUAAAGGUGUAGUGGCCGUGCUGCUACAUCCCUCUAUUCCCAAAGCAGAAAUUAGGUGCCUGCAUCAAACAAUGCAAGAUGUGAGAUAACACAUCUCAGCAAGUAAACAUAACAACAACAAAUAGGACAUUGUAAAUCAACUGUGCUUACACAACCACGUGUUCAGGACUUCUUUCUUUUCUUUUGAACAGUAAAUUGCAGCAAGUAAACAAGUAACUAAAAGCUCAACGCCAAGUAGAAUCACCAUGCACAAGUCCAAAUUAUCCACAUCCACAUAAUAGAUUCAACACCUCUCCCAUGAAUGCACAUGGCUACAAAUGCAAUAAUGACUUCUGCCUCCAUAUCUCUAAGGAUAUGAAGCUGCACCAUACCCCUUCUCGGGCAACAUAUGAUGCUCAAUGUACCGGUACGGUCGGACCAUAAGAUCGCGACGAAACUUCAAUGCAAUGGAUGAUGAGUGCAUUAUGCAUGACAACAUCAUGAGUUCUUCCCAAAUAAAAAUGUGCUAGGCAUUUACUUCCACCCAUUCCACAUAAUAACCACUUGAGUAACAUAAUCAAACCUCAAACUCAACAUAUGAAAUUCAUGAAACAUGAACAUUUUCAAAUGAUGGUACUCAAAAGAAAACUAUGAAUUUGAACAUAAUAGCACAACAUAAACAAGUAUAAGACUCCUCAUCUGACAGACGGAAUAACCAUCACAAUUUUACUUGCCUUCACCGGAAGUUUGGGCAAAUCCCUAAGAACGAUCUGGGAGUCCACCACCUGUUUUUGACACCCAACUUAGUGCACCAAAUUCACAUAAAAAACUCAAACAACGCCGCACCUACGCGCAAUCUCAAACCCCGCCGCGGGUAACAAUUCUCCCCACACCAACCAAACUGCAGCGGCGCUGCUUAACAAUUUCAUAACUUUAAAAUUAAGACAGCAGUGGUGUCAAACAAAAACUCCAGAGGCAACUACAUAAAAUUCCCCACAAGUUUUGUAUACAAUUUAUGAUUAAAUUCUAACAUCUAAUUACCCCUAAACGGUCCACAAAAUAAACCCUGCAAUCUGUUUUUUUUCUGUUUUGGGCAGCGACAUGCUCGGAUUCAAACAGCGAUAACUUUUAAAAUAUAAUUCCGAAUCAAGCGCAUAAGUACUUGUUGGAAAGAUAAGAAAGAGCCCUUCAUGAUUCUUAUACUGAUUAACCCUAAUUACUCCCGAAAAAUCCCCAGAAACGGCUAAUACUGCUGCUGUUCAUUCCCCUGAAAAUCUGUUUUUUGGACAGCCACAUACCCGGAUUCAAACGGUGAUAACUUUCAAUUUAUAACUCCAAAUUGAGCGCAUAAAUACUCGUUGGAAAGGUAAGACAAAGUUCUACAUGAUCCCCAAACUGAUUUCCCUUAAUUUCUCACGGAAAAAAAACACAGAACUGCUAGAACUACCGUUGUUCAUCCACCACCUAAAAUUCUGGACAGCCCCCUCUACCCAAUCGCAAACGCAACCUCUAAUCAAUUAAAUUGCAGCGCAAAUGAACAAGGGAUGAACACAAAAAUCACCUUGGAUUCUCCCCCUUUCCUUCCUCCCUUCUUCCCUCCACCAAAACGAUUGAAGACUCGCACCACGUGACGAUGAUUCGAGCGGCAAGGAUUGGCACCUUGGGAGGAGGGGAUUGAGGGGGGGGCGGCUAGGGUUUGGUGGCUGCAAC